CCUACGGGAUGCAGCAGUGAGGAAUAUUGGUCAAUGGGCGGGAGCCUGAACCAGCCAAGCCGCGUGAGGGAAGAAGGUACAGCGUAUCGUAAACCUCUUUUGUCAGGGAACAAAGGCGGGGACUAGUCCCCGGAUGAGGGUACCUGAAGAAAAAGCAUCGGCUAACUCCGUGCCAGCAGCCGCGGUAAUACGGGGGAUGAGAGCGUUGUCCGGAUUUAUGGGGUUUAAAGGGUUCGCAGGCGGCCUGUUAAGUCAGCGGUAAAAGCCCGGGGGUAAACCCCGGCGAGCCGUUGAAACUGGCGGGCUGGAGUUGGAGAGAAGUACGCGGAAUGCGCGGUGUAGCGGUGAAAUGCUUAGAUAUCGCGCAGAACCCCGAUUGCGAAGGCAGCGUACCGGCUCCACACUGACGCUGAGGCACGAAAGCGUGGGUAUCGAACAGGAUUAGAUACCCCGGUAGUC
rnacentral:rRNA from 1 species